AACCUUUUGCCCUUAGUGCUAUCAGUUUCUCUGAAGGAUAGUAUCUCUGAAGUCCUCGUCUAGGCUUAGCUGUAGAAAAAUGAAACGGCAGUGUGGUGCAUAUUUAAACAUGACAUAGCAGGCGAGGAAAGAAAGUGAUCUGUCUUUUGAUUGAAGAUGAAAUAGCUCCUAAACAAACAAGUGGAAAAUUGGGUCAGCUAUCUCCAAAUACAAAAUAUUUUGAAAAAUUGAGACAAAAGCAUUAGGCUCAUGUUUGAAUAUGGCUACUCAAAGUAAUCAUCUUUAAACUGUCACUAGGGGGACUUUGAAGAUACCUGACUUUUCAGACGGCUUAUCUGUGUGUUUCCCUGAAGUCUGCCUUGCAGGACUGAGGACAAGGGUUUUGCACAUUCCUCUCAGAUGUUUCUCUGUGGUCAGGAUAAGAAUGUAAUAAUUUAACAAGCCAAGAACCUAAACAGCAUGUCCUUUCGGGACAGGAGUGUGAUGUGACAAAGGAAGCCACUAGGGUUGUGGAAGAGGGGGAACAGGCAAAGCCAUGCCAUUUUCUCUUCAUUCCAGUGGAUAAGGUAGCCCCCAGAGGUGAGGACAGUCUGUGAGUAUCUGCUUCUUUCUGCAACUGUGCACUG
rnacentral:lncRNA from 1 species